ACGGAAGGCAGCAGUGAGGAAUAUUGGUCAAUGGGCGAGAGCCUGAACCAGCCAAGUCGCGUGAAGGAUGAAGGUUCUAUGGAUUGUAAACUUCUUUUGUUCGAGGGUAAAGUGAGGGAUGCGUCUCUUAUCGCAAGUAUCGAACGAAUAAGCAUCGGCUAACUCCGUGCCAGCAGCCGCGGUAAUACGGAGGAUGCGAGCGUUAUCCGGAUUUAUUGGGUUUAAAGGGUGCGUAGGCGGGAUGUUAAGUCAGCGGUGAAAGCGUGUAGCUCAACUAUACCAAGCCGUUGAAACAGGCGUUCUUGAGUGUAAACGAGGUAGGCGGAAUGUGACGUGUAGCGGUGAAAUGCUUAGAUAUGUCACAGAACCCCGAUUGCGAAGGCAGCUUACCAGCAUACAACUGACGCUGAGGCACGAAAGUGCGGGGAUCAAACAGGAUUAGAUACCCUGGUA
rnacentral:rRNA from 1 species